AUUACUAUCCUUAGCUUCCCUCAUUCUCUUACCUUACAUUGUCUCCUUAUUUAAGACUGAAGAAACAGCUGUCAGUUUUGUUCAAACUGCUAUAUACUACGGAGAUCCUAGGGCAUAAUUUGAGAAGACAGUACCUGCCGUAGCAACUUUUGUAGUGUUGCAAUAUUCUCCAAAGACAAACAAAAGGCAUCUUCGUCUUCACACACCACAUCUCUUUCAAAGCUUGUGUCUGGGGUGUGGUCUAAUGCUUCCAUACACAGUAUGAUCUGUCUCUUUAUACUGACAAACUCCUCACGCCUAGAAGCCUUUAAAACAAAGCAAUUACAAGAUACCUAGAGGAAAACCAAAGUGACUUUUAGGAAGAACAAAUGUAGGCAGUGUACCUUUGUUUCCCUCAAAGUUGUCACAUGUUGCCUGAACUGGUUCAGCUCUUCUAAGCUGGGCACUGAGGCACUGUCAAUAUCAUAGUGGGGCAUACAAAGAAUUUCGCACAGUUCUUGAUCUUGCUCUUGAAGUAGCUUCAGUUCCUGUUUUCUCUCCUUUUUCUGUUUUCGCAUCAAUUCCACUUGGGUGCGCAAAUCUUUUUCUAGUUGCAAGAUGGUCGUCUCUCCUUCUUCCUGAAUAAGACAACGUACCACUGUUAUAAGAUUCCAAGUGAAUUCCUUCAGAGGAAGAGAAGGACAACAUAAGAAGGCGUGGAUGACAGACUUUCAGUUAAACUAACAAAGAAAGAACACUGCAGCACCAUCUAUGCCUACCUUUUUCUCAGCGUUUAUAAAAAAAAAUUCAUAUUCCCUACAAAGCAAAACUAUGGUAUAACAGGACAACUAAGACUGCCCUGGCACCAGAGAAACUACAAUCUAGAUGUGCUCUGCUUCCAGUCGGCCGAGAAGCCUGCAGCAAAUCACCUAAACACUUAAGGUCUUUGUGUGCCAUCCACACCCAACUGCAACUAGAGACUUUCAUUAGCCCCUUUCUGUCUCAGAGCUUUCGGUGGUUCUACAAGUCACCAGCCUGGAUCUCUAACAAUGUGUCUCUCCAAAGCUGUUAAUACAUUCACAUCCAAAAUAUCUCCAGCCACGAAAUCCUAGUUUAGAGGUUGCCCGUCCUUGUUGAAGAAACAUUUCUACACAAAUACCUGUUGCCUAUACCAGAUGGCCAUACCAAUACCCAAAUACUGACAAACGUUUAAAAGAAUUUACGGUACUCCCUUCACUUUAGAAAUGUUAACAGUUCAAGUCCAACAGAACUUAAAGGAAAAAAAGAGAAAUGUUAACAGUAAGUAAGGCAUUUAUUUAACAUAAUCUCAACUAAAGUCCAACUAAAGAGCUUCCCCAGGCAAACACUCCUUUUGCACUUCAUUUUGAAGACAAAAGAAUGCACAAGUUAAAAUCCUAAUAUUACCAUUUUAUUAAAAAUAACUUUUAAGAUCCAAUCUGUGGCCAAUAUUCGAUCUGGAUGCAAAACCCUGGCUUCCAGACAGGCCAGCCAGGGGCACUGCUCUGAAGGUCAUUACUUAAGUAUCCCAGUCUCCUCAGUCUGACAGACCUACCCCUGCCCAGCCAAUCUCCACAUAACAGCUAGUUGUUCAUAAUAAAUCCCAUCAGAUCCCCGCUUAACUACUCCCCUUCAAAGGCUCCACUGCCCUCAGGAAAUAGUUCAACCACCUUCUGUAGAAAGGCCUUCUAAAACCUCUCUCCGAGUCUGUCUGCUAAUCUCUCCCACUUGACACUCCCCAGGUCUCUGGCCAGCUGAACUUCCCGGGCAUUUCCUGAACAAUGCCCCUCAAUAAACCACAUGCAACUCUCA
ensembl:lncRNA PRC1-AS1 PRC1 antisense RNA 1